rnacentral:tRNA from 1 species
CAAUUGACUUCCAAUCAAUUAGCUUCGGUACAAACCCGAAAAAGAAUAAUUAAUCUCCCAUUAACUCUUA